GUUUGUGUGGCACAUAAUAAAAAAUGGUUGCAUCUAGCAAUUCAUUUGCAAAUCUUACUUGAUUUUGAAGCCAUAGAACACCUCAACUGUUAGCUUGAAUGACUGGAGUUUAGUUUUUAUUUCUCAGAACAAAACAGUUUGAAGCCUAAUUAACAUCCUCGGAAGGAACUUAACACUAAAACUCCUAACAGCUUCAGUUUUCUGACCUUGAAGAAAGGGAAAAUGAAGAGACCAUGGUGCCACUUCCGAAGCCAAGCCUGAAGUUCUGUGCUUUAGAGGUGGCGUUGCCAUCCUAUGAUUGCAGGAGUCUGGCCUUGGCUUGGUGGAGGAGCCUGUGGAUAAGGCGAAGGAAGGCUGAAGUGCAAUGUUGAGAUCUCGGCUCACUGCAACCUCUGCCUCCCAGGUUCAAGCGAUUCUCCUGCUUUGGCCUCCUGAGUAGCUGGGAUUGCAGGUCAGUUGCUCUCCCUGGAAGGAAGAGUGUUCUCGGAUUUCCCCUUAAAGGAGGAAGGCUGCCAGAACUGAACUAGCACUUCUGAAUAUCCUGAGGCGAGAGAUGCCAGCCCCACCCCAGGAAUCGACUGAAAAUUUGGUUCCAUUCCUGGACACCUGGGAUUCAGCUGGAGAGCUGCCCCUGGAGCCAGAGCAGUUCUUGGCUUCACAGCUGAAGAAAGAUCCAGCUCAGCGUUGGAGCCUUGCUGAGAUUAUUGGAAUUACACGCCAAUUAUCCACACCUCAGAGUCAGAAACAGACUUUGCAGGAUGAAUAUUCC
rnacentral:sRNA from 1 species